GAUGAACGCUGGCGGUGUGCCUAAUACAUGCAAGUCGAGCGAACAGACGGGGAGCUUACUCCUCUGACGUUAGCGGCGGACGGGUGAGUAACACGUGGAUAACCUACCUAUAAGACUGGGAUAACUUCGGGAAACCGGAGCUAAUACCGGAUAACAUGUUGAACCGCAUGGUUCAACAGUGAAAGACGGUCUUGCUGUCACUUAUAGAUGGAUCCGCGUCGCAUUAGCUAGUUGGUAAGGUAACGGCUUACCAAGGCAACGAUGCGUAGCCGACCUGAGAGGGUGAUCGGCCACCCUGGAACUGAGACACGGUCCAGACUCCUACGGGAGGCAGCAGUAGGGAAUCUUCCGCAAUGGGCGAAAGCCUGACGGAGCAACGCCGCGUGAGUGAAGAAGGUCUUCGGAUCGUAAAACUCUGUUAUUAGGGAAGAACAAAUGUGUAAGUAACUAUGCACGUCUUGACGGUACCUAAUCAGAAAGCCACGGCUAACUACGUG
rnacentral:rRNA from 1 species